rnacentral:rRNA from 1 species
UUGAACGCUGGCGGCAGGCCUAACACAUGCAAGUCGAGCGGUAGCACAGAGAGCUUGCUCUCGGGUGACGAGCGGCGGACGGGUGAGUAAUGUCUGGGAAACUGCCUGAUGGAGGGGGAUAACUACUGGAAACGGUAGCUAAUACCGCAUAACGUCGCAAGACCAAAGUGGGGGACCUUCGGGCCUCAUGCCAUCAGAUGUGCCCAGAUGGGAUUAGCUAGUAGGUGGGGUAACGGCUCACCUAGGCGACGAUCCCUAGCUGGUCUGAGAGGAUGACCAGCCACACUGGAACUGAGACACGGUCCAGACUCCUACGGGAGGCAGCAGUGGGGAAUAUUGCACAAUGGGCGCAAGCCUGAUGCAGCCAUGCCGCGUGUGUGAAGAAGGCCUUCGGGUUGUAAAGCACUUUCAGCGGGGAGGAAGGCGGUGAGGUUAAUAACCUCACCGAUUGACGUUACCCGCAGAAGAAGCACCGGCUAACUCCGUGCCAGCAGCCGCGGUAAUACGGAGGGUGCAAGCGUUAAUCGGAAUUACUGGGCGUAAAGCGCACGCAGGCGGUCUGUCAAGUCGGAUGUGAAAUCCCCGGGCUCAACCUGGGAACUGCAUUCGAAACUGGCAGGCUAGAGUCUUGUAGAGGGGGGUAGAAUUCCAGGUGUAGCGGUGAAAUGCGUAGAGAUCUGGAGGAAUACCGGUGGCGAAGGCGGCCCCCUGGACAAAGACUGACGCUCAGGUGCGAAAGCGUGGGGAGCAAACAGGAUUAGAUACCCUGGUAGUCCACGCCGUAAACGAUGUCGAUUUGGAGGUUGUGCCCUUGAGGCGUGGCUUCCGGAGCUGACGCGUUAAAUCGACCGCCUGGGGAGUACGGCCGCAAGGUUAAAACUCAAAUGAAUUGACGGGGGCCCGCACAAGCGGUGGAGCAUGUGGUUUAAUUCGAUGCAACGCGAAGAACCUUACCUGGUCUUGACAUCCACAGAACUUUCCAGAGAUGGAUUGGUGCCUUCGGGAACUGUGAGACAGGUGCUGCAUGGCUGUCGUCAGCUCGUGUUGUGAAAUGUUGGGUUAAGUCCCGCAACGAGCGCAACCCUUAUCCUUUGUUGCCAGCGGUUAGGCCGGGAACUCAAAGGAGACUGCCAGUGAUAAACUGGAGGAAGGUGGGGAUGACGUCAAGUCAUCAUGGCCCUUACGACCAGGGCUACACACGUGCUACAAUGGCAUAUACAAAGAGAAGCGACCUCGCGAGAGCAAGCGGACCUCAUAAAGUAUGUCGUAGUCCGGAUUGGAGUCUGCAACUCGACUCCAUGAAGUCGGAAUCGCUAGUAAUCGUAGAUCAGAAUGCUACGGUGAAUACGUUCCCGGGCCUUGUACACACCGCCCGUCACACCAUGGGAGUGGGUUGCAAAAGAAGUAGGUAGCUUAACCUUCGGGAGGGCGCUUACCACUUUGUGAUUCAUGACUGGGGUG